AGUGUUAGAAUGGUCAAUGGCCUUAAGCGAUAUGGGCCAUCACCUUCAUAGGCCAAUUGUUAGAUAAGAUUCCCCCAUUCCGAUUAGAUAUUGCGUGGGUUCAACGUAUCCACACAAAGUCACAAACGUUCUUUUGGACUUUUGAUUCACCCUCACCGUGCCGAGAAGAAUCAUUUUCUCUCACCGUGGAUGCCUAGCCGCCGAUGUCACUGAUGUUUCACUUCGUUAAUCGAUAGUCUCUACCGCCAAACCAUCGGCUUCUAUCUAGCCAUCAUCACUAGACCCGUCGGAUUCUAUCUUUCCAAGAUUAGCAGUCCCUAAUCGAUCAACCAUUUGAGCUUCUUCUCUUGUUAUACCUGUACACUUCAGCUCCAUAUCAGCUGAUUAAUAGUUACUCAAAUCUUGUUUAUUCCCAACCAUGUUAGUUUUCAGAUCUUGGCUAGGGACUGUAUAGAGUCUGGAUUAAGAUGAAAAUUGAUAUGCCCAAUUUGAACUGAAUCCAUGACACGCAAAAAUUUAGCUCAUCAAGUUUAUCAAGUGUGGAAGUUGAUGCUGUCGUACCAAAAUCUUAAAACUAAAAAGGGAUGAAUAGAUCUUUUCUCCAGCAUGGUAACAAACAUAAAUAUGUGAUCAAGCCAGUAACCGCUGGCAAUUAAAAUCAAGAAACAAGAAAGUUGAGAUUUAUUCAGACUGAUGCUGUGAAGUAAUGAGUGAGUCUUUGACCCAUACUGCAAGUAAGGUUAAGACUCUCUCGCUUAUGUAAGUGGGAUUGACUCAACAGAUUUUGUUGUAAUGGUUUGAUUAAGUGUAUAAUGUAAA